UCUCCUUUCGUCUAAUCGGUAAGACACCCGGCUCUGGACCGGGCAAUUGAGGUUCGAGUCCUUGAGGGAGAGC
rnacentral:tRNA from 1 species